UCCCUGGUGGCUCAGAUGGUAAAGAAUCUACCUUCAAGGCAGGAGACAGACCCAGGUUCAAUUCCUGGAUAGGGAA
rnacentral:tRNA from 1 species